rnacentral:rRNA from 1 species
UACGAAGGGGGCUAGCGUUGCUCGGAAUGACUGGGCGUAAAGGGCGCGUAGGCGGAUUGUACAGUCAGGCGUGAAAUUCCCGGGCUCAACCUGGGGGCUGCGCUUGAGACGUGUGAUCUUGAGUGGGGAAGAGGGUCGUGGAAUUCCCAGUGUAGAGGUGAAAUUCGUAGAUAUUGGGAAGAACACCGGUGGCGAAGGCGGCGACCUGGUCCUUGACUGACGCUGAGGCGCGAAAGCGUGGGGAGCAAACAGG